UAGCAAAGGUUCUUCUUAUCACUAAUAUGGAAAACUUCACACCUGUUUCAAGUGUUCCCCUUCCAACCUUCUUAUUGCAUCUAACUAGGUCAAAAAUUACGGUGAUAGAGUGUGGUUGCCGCUAACUGUCAGUGAAUUCAUUCCGACGAGGCCAACAAAUUUAAAGACCAUUCUUCUAAAUUUUGAAGCUUCACAACAAUAUUAUGCAACAACAGAUCCGUCCAGAUAGAUAAUGUCCAAGAAAAUGGAAAUACCGAUGGAAUUAGAAGAGAACGGCUUACGGCGGACUGGGAGAUCAAACUCAUGAAACAGGAGGUGAAGGACAUCAACCGUGCGGUUGAAGCUCUGAGGCGAGAGCUUUGGACGUUAACGAAUCACUAUAUUAGAUUGGCUAAUCAGAUCAAGAACAACACCAGUGAGGGCAGUGCUGGCGGUGGAUCCCCUAAUGUUGUAAGGGAUGAAGAUGACGUUUACGGUUUUUUACCAUGAUAUUUUUGGGAUUCUAUUUUUUUAUAUGUAAUUAGUAAAGUUUGUA